rnacentral:rRNA from 1 species
UACGAAGGGGACUAGCGUUGUUCGGAUUUACUGGGCGUAAAGCGCGUGUAGGCGGGUCGUUAAGUUGGGGGUGAAAUCCCGAGGCUCAACCUCGGAACUGCCUUCAAAACUGGCGACCUGGACUCUAGUAGAGGCAAGUGGAAUUGCGAGUGUAGAGGUGAAAUUCGUAGAUAUUCGCAGGAACACCGGGGGCGAAGGCGACUUGCUGGACUUGUAGUGACGCUGAGACGCGAAAGCGUGGGGAGCAAACAGG